rnacentral:rRNA from 1 species
CGGGUGAGUAACACGUGGAUAACCUACCUAUAAGACUGGGAUAACUUCGGGAAACCGGAGCUAAUACCGGAUAAUAUAUUGAACCGCAUGGUUCAAUAGUGAAAGACGGUUUUGCUGUCACUUAUAGAUGGAUCCGCGCUGCAUUAGAUAGUUGGUAAGGUAACGGCUUACCAAGGCAACGAUGCGUAGCCGACCUGAGAGGGUGAUCGGCCACACUGGAACUGAGACACGGUCCAGACUCCUACGGGAGGCAGCAGCG